AUAAUGGAGUAUAAUAAGAGCAUGGAGAAAUAUGCUGGUGCUGUUUGAGCCCUACAAGCAGUCACCCCUUCAGACUUACUGGAUCAUGAUGUGAACCAAAAUUGAACUAUUUCUGGCCCUUCAAAUAGACCAGAGGUUGGCGAUUUGAAGGAGCUGCAGACACUAGACAUUUCUACCAAUCGUUUGCUAACUUUACCCGAGAGGCUUCACAUGUGCCUUUCUCUGCAGUACCUCACUGUGGACCGAAAUCGUCUAUGGUAUGUGCCGCGCCAUCUCUGCCAGCUGCCCAGCCUCAAUGAGCUCUCCAUGGCUGGAAACCGUCUUGCGUUUUUGCCACUUGAUUUAGGUCGAUCUCGAGAACUACAAUAUGUAUACGUGGAUAACAACAUUCACCUGAAAGGCUUGCCGUCUUAUCUGUACAAUAAAGUCAUCGGGUGCAGUGGGUAAGGCCGAUUUCACAUUUUGAACUAAAAAAUAGAUUAACUACUUUUGGUACUUC
rnacentral:sRNA from 1 species